GCUAGGCGUGAUGGUGUGCGCCUGUAGUCCCAGCUGCUCAGGAGGCUGAGGCAGGAGGAUUGCUUGAGUCCAGGAGUUUGGGGCUGCAGUGAGCUAUGAUCGUGCCACUGCACUCCAGCCUGGGCAACAGAGCAAGACUUCAUCUCUA
ensembl:misc_RNA Metazoa_SRP Metazoan signal recognition particle RNA